GUCAAGGCAUAUUGGGCUGGAUCAUUUUAGUGUUAUCCUAUAUAUUGAGUUUAAAAAAUCAAUAAUCAAGAUUGGAUUAAAAUACAAAGUUCCUUUAUUUUUUUCGAAACCAAUUUGAAUAUAUUGUUAGUUUAACUAGGAGUUGAUUUAGAGUUGGACAGAUAUUGGAAAAAUUAAAAUAAAAUAAUUUUGGAUAUCAUGUUCAUAU
rnacentral:lncRNA from 1 species